UGAUUUAAUAUGUAAUAAUAAAUCCGUUAGAUUUGACAAUAAAUCUUACAGCUAAUUGAGCGAAAUUGGAUUUUCAAACCUUUUGCUGCAGACCGGCAAUUAAAAGGAAGGGAAAUUUCGUACUUAUUUGGAAUUUGUUCGCUGAUGGAAUAAGCUGAAUAGAAAAACACUUAAGGAGCGAGGAACAGGCGAUCACUUUACUUUCGAUUAUUGGGCGUGUAGUUUAUUCGGCGAUUACCAAAUAGAAACUAAAGCUUAUUCUACUUAACUAAGCUCUCCCGAGCGCAGCGGAGACACCAAUUUCAGCUGCCACGGGAAGAGUAGAAUUGGAGAUUCAGGGAACAAUAGUGUGGUGAAGAGCGAGAGGGGGAGCGGGUGACAGUCCUCGCCCGUAACCAGGACAGUAUUAAAACCUAGUGUGAUCAGUUAGGAUAAGUUGUCUUAAAAUGUUCCUAAUCAAAUUCUGUCAGUUUGUAAGUUUCUUCUAUGUUAAAAAUUUAAAAUUAUAAUGUUGUCUAAUUCAGAGUAAGUUUCUCUAGGGCAGCUAAUUAGCAUACUUGUAGGGUACUUAACUGGUCAUUGGUGGUCAUGGGUGGGCUUCGAUAGCUUAACAGCUGCUGUCGUAAAAAGUUUAUAUGUCCUUGUUUCCCAUAGCCUAACCAUAGCCGGAAUGUUAUACACAUAAUUCGCUACAGUAUUCUUAUUAAUUUUUUUUUUAUUCCUCUAUUCCUCUCGGGAACUUUGGGCUUCUACGAGAGCUGAAUUUCUCGUAUUAGUUUCAGUAAUCGUUGUAAGUUUUUCGACCGAUCUGGUGAUUGGCCAGAUGCGGAUUCUUAUUAUUCUUAUUAAUUAUCAUAAACAUAUUUUGGCGCCCAACGUGGGUCCCGAUUCUAUCAUGGUGACUGAUCGAUCCGGCAAGGCCAGAUCUAAAAAACAAUUUUUUUAAAAACGUUACUAUGAUGUUAGUUCGUCCCCAAGAUCUCAACAAGUUUAUCAACUAAAGUAGCUGUUCUACAAAUCAAAUGGUUGUUUAAAUUCAUGCUCCUGGAAAAGUUUUAGCCAUUUGGCUCUUACGCUGCUACUGAAUCCGAACACUUCUUAUUUUAUUAUUAUUAUAUUAAAUUUUCCUAUUGUCUGCUGGAAAAGUUUUAGCUAUUAUGCUUAAACGCCGCGUCAUAAUUAGUUCAUUUAAUGUUUUAAUAAUUUAUUUUGCUAUUUUUAUUUAUUUUUAAAAGGCCUUUGGUCUUUUUUUUUUGAGCCAAGUUUUUUGUUUUCUAUGUCUGAAAACAACAUCCUUUACCUAUAAUUCUAGUCAUUUUCUGUUAACAAAUCAGUAGUAUCAAUGGCAUACAAUUAAACUACGUCAGGACUGUAGAAGCAAGGAAUUUUACACAGCGAUACCUGAAAAAGAUUGCAUGGCAACCCGAUUUUUAUUAGUAUAUAUUUUUUUUUGUUCUCGUUUAUUAUUAAAUAGGAUAAUUUUUUUGGUAAUAGACAGCAAUGUCUAUUACAGCAAUGGCUGAAAGUAUAAGAUCAGCUAUCUUGAAAGCCAUUACGGCCCAGCAAACAAAAUGUUUUGCGGUCUCUUCGGGCCAACUCAGAAAUAGAUCCAAGCGAACACAGUUCCAAUCGGAGUCCCCGAAACGUCGGAGCUAACGCAGUUUCACAAGUCUCACCAAAUGUAGGUCCAACCCGACGUGUAAACUAAACUACGUUUCUCAGGAAAGGGUCCAAUGGCUGUCGAACUGUAAUUACCGACUUUAUUUACCGAGUCGAAGCUUUAGCGGGUCAAACAUUGGACGUUAAUCUUCAACUAGUGGCUCAAAAUACCAGUACAUUAUUCGAGGAUAUUGCGAGUGUUACCGCCUCAGCAUUUGCCCUCGGCGGUCCUCCGCCAAAGCCGCCUCGACAACCGAAAAUCUAGAGGGCCCAGGAAAUACUUCGUUACUACCCACUAGAAACGCUGAGUCGUCGUAUCGAGUAACACUGGAAUUGCUUAAUCAACACAAACAGCGGGCCAAACGAAUCGCAUCCGCUCCACUUCUACUUUUCGGCCGAUCAGCAUAUUAGAAUAAGCACAAUGUAUCAACCCAAUUGUAAAGUACGAGAAAGAAAUAUAAGAAUUCAUUCAGAUUUGAGAACUUAACUCCAGGAGACGUUUAAUUUCGGAAAACAACUUUCAGGUAAAUCUUCAGCAUUCAACUCCCCCGAACCUACUAAGGGGGUUAACUUGCGCAGUCGGUAGUUCCACGCCUAAGAACGAGUCAGCAGGAUUUCGUGACGACCAGGAUAUGCAGUUAAUAUUAAUAACAGCGAUGUAAGGAAUAUCAGAAUGGUCAAAGCAGUGGGAAAUAAGAAACGCACGUGCAAACCAAUAUAA